CAGCAGCCACGGGAACACGGAGGGUGCAAGCGUUAAUCGGAAUUACUGGGCGUAAAGCGUGCGUAGGCGGUUCGUUAAGUCUGUUGUGAAAGCCCCGGGCUCAACCUGGGAAUGGCAAUGGAUACUGGCGAGCUAGAGUGUGUCAGAGGAUGGUGGAAUUCCCGGUGUAGCGGUGAAAUGCGUAGAGAUCGGGAGGAACAUCAGUGGCGAAGGCGGCCAUCUGGGACAACACUGACGCUGAGGCACGAAAGCGUGGGGAGCAAACAGGAUUAGAUACCCCUGUAGUCCCUGUCUCUUAUAC
rnacentral:rRNA from 1 species